rnacentral:rRNA from 1 species
GGUUAAGCGACUAAGCGUACACGGUGGAUGCCCUGGCAGUCAGAGGCGAUGAAGGACGUGCUAAUCUGCGAUAAGCGUCGGUAAGGUGAUAUGAACCGUUAUAACCGGCGAUUUCCGAAUGGGGAAACCCAGUGUGAUUCGUCACACUAUCAUUAACUGAAUCCAUAGGUUAAUGAGGCGAACCGGGGGAACUGAAACAUCUAAGUACCCCGAGGAAAAGAAAUCAACCGAGAUUCCCCCAGUAGCGGCGAGCGAACGGGGAGCAGCCCAGAGCCUGAAUCAGUGUGUGUGUUAGUGGAAGCGUCUGGAAAGGCGUGCGAUACAGGGUGACAGCCCCGUACACAAAAAUGCACAUGCUGUGAGCUCGAUGAGUAGGGCGGGACACGUGGUAUCCUGUCUGAAUAUGGGGGGACCAUCCUCCAAGGCUAAAUACUCCUGACUGACCGAUAGUGAACCAGUACCGUGAGGGAAAGGCGAAAAGAACCCCGGCGAGGGGAGUGAAAAAGAACCUGAAACCGUGUACGUACAAGCAGUGGGAGCACGCUUAGGCGUGUGACUGCGUACCUUUUGUAUAAUGGGUCAGCGACUUAUAUUCUGUAGCAAGGUUAACCGAAUAGGGGAGCCGAAGGGAAACCGAGUCUUAACUGGGCGUUAAGUUGCAGGGUAUAGACCCGAAACCCGGUGAUCUAGCCAUGGGCAGGUUGAAGGUUGGGUAACACUAACUGGAGGACCGAACCGACUAAUGUUGAAAAAUUAGCGGAUGACUUGUGGCUGGGGGUGAAAGGCCAAUCAAACCGGGAGAUAGCUGGUUCUCCCCGAAAGCUAUUUAGGUAGCGCCUCGUGAAUUCAUCUCCGGGGGUAGAGCACUGUUUCGGCAAGGGGGUCAUCCCGACUUACCAACCCGAUGCAAACUGCGAAUACCGGAGAAUGUUAUCACGGGAGACACACGGCGGGUGCUAACGUCCGUCGUGAAGAGGGAAACAACCCAGACCGCCAGCUAAGGUCCCAAAGUCAUGGUUAAGUGGGAAACGAUGUGGGAAGGCCCAGACAGCCAGGAUGUUGGCUUAGAAGCAGCCAUCAUUUAAAGAAAGCGUAAUAGCUCACUGGUCGAGUCGGCCUGCGCGGAAGAUGUAACGGGGCUAAACCAUGCACCGAAGCUGCGGCAGCGACACUAUGUGUUGUUGGGUAGGGGAGCGUUCUGUAAGCCUGUGAAGGUGUACUGUGAGGUAUGCUGGAGGUAUCAGAAGUGCGAAUGCUGACAUAAGUAACGAUAAAGCGGGUGAAAAGCCCGCUCGCCGGAAGACCAAGGGUUCCUGUCCAACGUUAAUCGGGGCAGGGUGAGUCGACCCCUAAGGCGAGGCCGAAAGGCGUAGUCGAUGGGAAACAGGUUAAUAUUCCUGUACUUGGUGUUACUGCGAAGGGGGGACGGAGAAGGCUAUGUUGGCCGGGCGACGGUUGUCCCGGUUUAAGCGUGUAGGCUGGUUUUCCAGGCAAAUCCGGAAAACUAAGGCUGAGGCGUGAUGACGAGGCACUACGGUGCUGAAGCAACAAAUGCCCUGCUUCCAGGAAAAGCCUCUAAGCAUCAGGUAACAUCAAAUCGUACCCCAAACCGACACAGGUGGUCAGGUAGAGAAUACCAAGGCGCUUGAGAGAACUCGGGUGAAGGAACUAGGCAAAAUGGUGCCGUAACUUCGGGAGAAGGCACGCUGAUAUGUAGGUGAAGUCCCUCGCGGAUGGAGCUGAAAUCAGUCGAAGAUACCAGCUGGCUGCAACUGUUUAUUAAAAACACAGCACUGUGCAAACACGAAAGUGGACGUAUACGGUGUGACGCCUGCCCGGUGCCGGAAGGUUAAUUGAUGGGGUUAGCGCAAGCGAAGCUCUUGAUCGAAGCCCCGGUAAACGGCGGCCGUAACUAUAACGGUCCUAAGGUAGCGAAAUUCCUUGUCGGGUAAGUUCCGACCUGCACGAAUGGCGUAAUGAUGGCCAGGCUGUCUCCACCCGAGACUCAGUGAAAUUGAACUCGCUGUGAAGAUGCAGUGUACCCGCGGCAAGACGGAAAGACCCCGUGAACCUUUACUAUAGCUUGACACUGAACAUUGAGCCUUGAUGUGUAGGAUAGGUGGGAGGCUUGGAAGUGUGGACGCCAGUCUGCAUGGAGCCGACCUUGAAAUACCACCCUUUAAUGUUUGAUGUUCUAACGUUGACCCGUAAUCCGGGUUGCGGACAGUGUCUGGUGGGUAGUUUGACUGGGGCGGUCUCCUCCUAAAGAGUAACGGAGGAGCACGAAGGUUGGCUAAUCCUGGUCGGACAUCAGGAGGUUAGUGCAAUGGCAUAAGCCAGCUUGACUGCGAGCGUGACGGCGCGAGCAGGUGCGAAAGCAGGUCAUAGUGAUCCGGUGGUUCUGAAUGGAAGGGCCAUCGCUCAACGGAUAAAAGGUACUCCGGGGAUAACAGGCUGAUACCGCCCAAGAGUUCAUAUCGACGGCGGUGUUUGGCACCUCGAUGUCGGCUCAUCACAUCCUGGGGCUGAAGUAGGUCCCAAGGGUAUGGCUGUUCGCCAUUUAAAGUGGUACGCGAGCUGGGUUUAGAACGUCGUGAGACAGUUCGGUCCCUAUCUGCCGUGGGCGCUGGAGAACUGAGGGGGGCUGCUCCUAGUACGAGAGGACCGGAGUGGACGCAUCACUGGUGUUCGGGUUGUCAUGCCAAUGGCACUGCCCGGUAGCUAAAUGCGGAAGAGAUAAGUGCUGAAAGCAUCUAAGCACGAAACUUGCCCCGAGAUGAGUUCUCCCUGACUCCUUGAGAGUCCUGAAGGAACGUUGAAGACGACGACGUUGAUAGGCCGGGUGUGUAAGCGCAGCGAUGCGUUGAGCUAACCGGUACUAAUGAACCGUGAGGCUUAACCUU